rnacentral:rRNA from 1 species
UACGUAGGGUGCGAGCGUUGUCCGGAAUUAUUGGGCGUAAAGAGCUCGUAGGCGGUUUGUUGCGUCUAUCGUGAAAACCUGCAGCUUAACUGUGGGCGUGCGGGCGAUACGGGCAGACUGGAGUACUGCAGGGGAGACUGGAAUUCCUGGUGUAGCGGUGGAAUGCGCAGAUAUCGUCCAGAACACCGAUAGCGAAGGCAGCUUACUAAGGAGUAACUGAC